rnacentral:rRNA from 1 species
AUUGAACGCUGGCGGCAUGCCUUACACAUGCAAGUCGAACGGUAACUGGCCUUCGGGUGCCGACGAGUGGCGAACGGGUGAGUAAUACAUCGGAACGUGCCCGAUCGUGGGGGAUAACGAGGCGAAAGCUUUGCUAAUACCGCAUACGAUCUACGGAUGAAAGCAGGGGACCGCAAGGCCUUGCGCGGACGGAGCGGCCGAUGGCAGCUUAGGUAGUUGGUGGGAUAAAAGCGUACCAAGCCGACGAUCUGUAGCUGGUCUGAGAGGAUGAUCAGCCACACUGGGACUGAGACACGGCCCAGACUCCUACGGGAGGCAGCAGUGGGGAAUUUUGGACAAUGGGCGCAAGCCUGAUCCAGCCAUGCCGCGUGCAGGAUGAAGGCCUUCGGGUUGUAAACUGCUUUUGUACGGAACGAAAAGCCUUCUUUUAAUACAGGAGGGUCAUGACGGUACCGUAAGAAUAAGCACCGGCUAACUACGUG